UACCUUAUGAAGGGGUUAAAGCCUACUAAACAAUAAGUAGAACAAAGUGGAGGGGCCUGAAUUGUCAAAACUGAAACUUAAGUUACUAAUAGUAACCAAAGCAAAACCAAACACCCCAAAACUUGGUGUCUGGUCGAUCAAGAGAGAGGGGCGACCAGGGGAUUUGCUUCAAACCCUAGUUUGUCACAAACAGCUCAAAUUGGAAGCCCAAAUUAAGUCCAAAUCGAAUUCUAAACACAAAUUAGUGAUCACCUCGGCAUAAGGAUCAAAAGGACAAGAUACCGGGACGUCGAGCGGACAAGCCGGUGGUGAUUCUCGGUUGAAGGGCGUGCGCUAAGGUAAUUUGGCGGAUCUUACAGGUGGCGAUCAAGCGAUUUAGUGAAGAACCGAACACUCUUUUUUUGAAGCUUCCGCAAUGUUUAGACCUUUUGUAGUCUUUGUGUAUGGGUUGUAAACACAAGUCAAACAAUUUCUU